rnacentral:rRNA from 1 species
UACGUAGGGGGCAAGCGUUGUCCGGAAUCAUUGGGCGUAAAGCGCGUGUAGGCGGGUCGGUAAGUCUGCUGUGAAAGUCCAGGGCUCAACCCUGGGAUGCCGGUGGAUACUGUCGGACUAGAGUACGGAAGAGGCGAGUGGAAUUCCCGGUGUAGCGGUGAAAUGCGCAGAUAUCGGGAGGAACACCUAUUGCGAAGGCAGCUCGCUGGGACGUCACUGACGCUGAGACGCGAAAGCGUGGGGAGCAAACAGG